rnacentral:rRNA from 1 species
AUUGAACGCUGGCGGCAGGCCUAACACAUGCAAGUCGAGCGAGCGGCGGACGGGUGAGUAAUGUCUGGGAAACUGCCCGAUGGAGGGGGAUAACUACUGGAAACGGUGGCUAAUACCGCAUACCAUCAGAUGGGCCCAGAUGGGAUUAGCUAGUAGGUGGGGUAAUGGCGAACCUAGGCGACGAUCCCUAGCUGGUCUGAGAGGAUGAGCAGCCACACUGGAACUGAGACACGGCCCAGACUCCUACGGGAGGCAGCAGUGGGGAAUAUUGCACAAGGGGCGCAAGCCUGAUGCAUCCAUGCCGCGUGUGUGAAGAAGGCCUUCGGGUUGGAAAGCACUUUCAGCGAGGAGGCGUUACCCGCAGAAGAAGCACCGGCUAACUACGUGCCAGCAGCCGCGGUAAUUC